AGUGAACGCUGGCGGUAGGCCUAACACAUGCAAGUCGAACGGCAGCACAGUAAGAGCUUGCUCUUACGGGUGGCGAGUGGCGGACGGGUGAGGAAUACAUCGGAAUCUACUUUUUCGUGGGGGAUAACGUAGGGAAACUUACGCUAAUACCGCAUACGACCUACGGGUGAAAGCAGGGGAUCUUCGGACCUUGCGCGAUUGAAUGAGCCGAUGUCGGAUUAGCUAGUUGGCGGGGUAAAGGCCCACCAAGGCGACGAUCCGUAGCUGGUCUGAGAGGAUGAUCGGCCACACUGGAACUGAGACACGGUCCAGACUCCUACGGGAGGCAGCAGUGGGGAAUAUUGGACAAUGGGCGCAAGCCUGAUCCAGCCAUACCGCGUGGGUGAAGAAGGCCUUCGGGUUGUAAAGCCCUUUUGUUGGGAAAGAAAAGCAGCAGGUUAAUACCCCGCUGUUCUGACGGUACCCAAAGAACAAGCACCGGCUAACUUCGUG
rnacentral:rRNA from 1 species